GGUGGGGUCGCAUAGUGGUCGAGUGCGUGCGCUUGGAGAGCGCAUGUGUCCGCAAGGAUACCGCGAGUUCGAAUCUCGCUCCCACCG
rfam:Candidatus Levybacteria bacterium RIFCSPHIGHO2_01_FTLL_42_15 rifcsphigho2_01_scaffold_71581, whole genome shotgun sequence.